UACGUAGGGGGCGAGCGUUGUCCGGAUUUAUUGGGCGUAAAGAGCGUGUAGGCGGCUUGGCAAGUCUGGUGUGAAAUCUUGCGGCUCAACCGCAAGCGGUCACUGGAAACUGCCUCGCUAGAGUCCGGAAGAGGAGAGCGGAAUUCCUGGUGUAGCGGUGGAAUGCGCAGAUAUCAGGAAGAACACCCGUGGCGAAGGCGGCUCUCUGGGACGGUACUGACGCUGAGACGCGAAAGCGUGGGGAGCGAACAGG
rnacentral:rRNA from 1 species